UACGGGGGGGGCAAGCGUUGUUCGGAAUUACUGGGCGUAAAGGGCUCGUAGGCGGCCAACUAAGUCAGACGUGAAGUCCCUCGGCUUAACCGGGGAACUGCGUCUGAUACUGGAUGGCUUGAAUCCGGGAGAGGGAUGCGGAAUUCCAGGUGUAGCGGUGAAAUGCGUAGAUAUUCGCAAGAACACCAGUGGCGAAGGCGGCUCACUGGCCCGGUACUGACGCUGAGGUGCGAAAGCGUGGGGAGCAAACAGG
rnacentral:rRNA from 1 species